GGCUCGGUGGUGGACGGUCCACACCUGCAAAACUUGAUUCUCAAGUGUACCGGCUUCUGCAGGAGGAGCCCGUUCGACUCGGGCCCGAGCCA